GUUUAGCUCUGUUCUGUGUAACAGUCCGUUCUUAUUUUACCAUUUAGUUCCCAGUGGCUCCUCAAGGUGUAAGGUAACACGGUAAGGCUUGGUCAGCAGGUCUAGGUGUGGCAGCCUGUUUCCCAACUGCAGAUCAGCUUAGGGGAAGCAGAAAUUUCUCUGCACUGAGUCAGGACCAAAAGCAGAACAUCACAGCUACCAAGUGCAGCCGAUCAGACGUGCCUAGGAAAGCGAUGAUGCCCAUCGAUUGGUGUGAACUUUCUAGAAACGUCUAGGAAACAGGAUGUUUGCGCUUGGGAUUUACCCACCAUAUUGUGAGGAAGCCUAUACUACAUGGAGAGGCCAUGUGAUGUUCCAGCCAACAGUACCGUGUCAGAUGCCAGCUGCCAGCCAGCAUCAACUCCAGACAGGU
rnacentral:lncRNA from 1 species